rnacentral:rRNA from 1 species
GACGAACGCUGGCGGCGUGCUUAACACAUGCAAGUCGAACGGAAAGGCCCUGCUUUUGUGGCGUGGUCGAGUGGCGCACGGGUGAGUAUAACGUGUGUAACCUGCCCUUGACUGUGUGAUAACUUCAGGAAACUCGGGCUAAUACCGGAUAUGAGCUCCUGCUGCACGGUGGGGGAUAGAGAGUGUCGGCGGUGCGGGCUGGACUCGCUGCUUAUCAGCUUGUUUGUGGGGUAGUGGCUUACAAAGGCUUUGACGGGUAGCCGGCCUGGGAGGGUGACCGGCGACAUUGGGACUGCGAUACGGCGCAGACUCCUACGGGAGGCAGUAGUGGGGAAUAUUGCACAAUGGGCCGAAGCCUGAUGCAGCAACGCCGCGUGCGGGAUGACGGCCUUCGGGUUGUAAACCGCUGUCGCCUGUGACGAAGCGUGAGUGACGGUAAUGGGUAAAGAAGCACCGGCUAACUACGUG